GGGGUUGUGGCUCAGUGGUAGAGCACUCACCUAGUGUAUGUGAGGUGCUGGGUUCCAUCCUCAGCACCACA
rnacentral:tRNA from 1 species